GUAUUUGUGUGUCCAGUGGUGAUGACUGAUGGGGAUGAAAAGCACACAGGGGCAUUGAGGAAAGAAGGCAUCACUCAAGCCCACAGCAUUGGAUGGAAGGAUGGGGGUUAUUUAUAAGCGUUUAGGGGGCACACCUGCCUCUGGAAUAUCACUACACAAUACCAGCUACUGUUGCCAGGCCUUCACUUCUCAUCAUACAUCAGCAGUGACUGUCAGACUAAGAAUAACUACUGGAACAAAGCAGCUGAGGUCCACCUUUUAUUAGUUCCUCUUCUUUCGGAAGGCUCCUCAGCUUCCUGCUCUACCAGAAACAUAUGCAGAGGAUAUCAAAGCCUGUAAUGGAUGAGUCGCUGUGGAGACAACACACUGUGGUAUCCCAGAUGUAUUCAUCCGGGGCCCUUUGCAAGAAACACGUGAAAGAAUUGGAGGAUGGUUUAACAACUUGGAGGGAUUGACAUGUAUAACUUGUUGGCAUGCCUACAUCUGAAAUAUUUUAUGCAAGGAUCAGAAACAUCAACCAAAAAAUAACUUGUGCAGCUUUGAAUAAAGUAUUGCUCUUACUGUAA